rnacentral:misc_RNA from 1 species
CGCAUUUUCCAGUUCCAAGUCUCCAGUACAUUCUCGGCGCCCUUUCUUUUCGGUCAUUGGAGAUCACUCUCUUUCAAGAACCUCAGUACCCUAACUCCACCUUCUUCUUGACCAGCACCGGCCAUCCCGUGUAGGUCACAACCACUCCGGCAACCUUCAACAAGCUUGAUUUUCUACUGGGUAUUUAGACAAAGAUCUAACCUCACUCUUAAUACAAAAGCAGAGUAGAGAAAAGAUGCAUGCACCCGUUCUCGUUCUCAAGGAUUCUUUGAAACGCGAGUCUGGAA